AGAGCUCAAAUUUAAAAUCUGGCGUGCCUCUGGCCGUCCGAGUUGUAGUCUGGAGAAGCGUUUUCCGCGUUGGACCGUGUAUAAGUCCCUUGGAACAGGGCGUCACAGAGGGUGAGAAUCCCGUCUUUGACACGGACUGCCAAUGCUUUGUGAUGCGCUCUCAAAGAGUCGAGUUGUUUGGGAAUGCAGCUCAAAAUGGGUGGUAAAUUCCAUCUAAAGCUAAAUAUUGGCGAGAGACCGAUAGCGAA
rnacentral:rRNA from 1 species